UUGUUUUCCAGGAGGAUCUUCAGCACCUUCAUGAAAAUAGAUUUGCCUGAAUCUAUUCAGAACAGCUGCACUACAUAAGUGGAUGCUCUUAGUUUCAAGCUGAGCUAUCCACUCACGCACAUAGAGUGCUAUGUGUGUAAAAUAGCCAUCGGAACACCAGGAAUUGACGCACAAGAAAUGGCCAUGUGGCAGUGGUGCGGACAGUCACAGAGACUCCCAAAGGACACAUGAUGUUGACUUUAUGGCUUCAGUGCUUCACACCACCCAAUGAAGAACAUUCACAAUUCUUUCUGACUUUAUGGCUGCAAGUUGCACUUUUUACAGCAGCAGAAGCAUCAGCCUACUUACCAAAUGUGGAUAUUCAAUUGAAAGCUGAAAUCAUCCUAGACCAAGAUCCUCCAGCCUCACCUCUCAUUCCAGCCACCUCUAUGGCCACCUGUCCAAGGUCUGCUUCAGCCAGUUCGGCGCAGGAGCAAACUUUCUCCCUGUGUGCCUCUCACUACCUGCCUUGUUUCUCUGCCAACUUCAGGUAGGAACACCUAUGGAAACCUGCUCAAUUCUUCUAUCAGUCAGGGUUCAAUCAGAGGAGAACCAUCAGGAAGUUUUAUAGACAUUUCCAUUUGUUAUAAGGAUUUGACCUUAUACA